CAUGGUCGCGCGUCAUCGGCGGGUCGCUUCGCGCAUCUAUUGCUUUUACCUGAGAGGUUCAUGCUGCAGGCACAUUGUCUUAUUGGGAACUGUCGCAUCGUUGCUUGCGCUAUCGAUGUAUUGCAGCCAGUUUCGUGCCGGUCGCUAGCGUAUCUAGACGUAUUUCGUGCGAUUCGUAUCGUUUCAUCGGACUCUUAUUUUCUACAUUUGCAUUGUAUUCGUCGGUCAUCAAUAGACUAUUUAGUUGUAACAUGCACCUGCAGUAUUUUGUUAAUGAUUAAUUGCGCGUUUAAUAUCCAUAAUUUUUAUGUUUGCGUUUGAUGUUUACAUUCCAAAUGCAUAUUGUUGCCAUGAUGUUUCCCGUCAUUAGGUGAUCCCUUCGUACUUGAUACUUGCUGUGCCCUAGCAAUCCAAUGAGCACUACAUUGUAACCCCAGCAAAAAACAGCAAAGUACGAGAAGACGACAAUUCAGAGGAACAAGUUGGUAAUAAUAAGAAUAAGGAAGAAGUGGUAGGAGUACAGAAUAGGAUGAGAAAGCCACCCCCAAAACAGGAGUGUCUCAGAUUUUUAAUAUUUUUUUUGCUGGUGUGUCGUUCUAUAAGAUAGUCUACAGGUUGCUCUCCCUCCGGCGCUCUGGUCGACCACCCACUACUUCGGUCCGUCCAUUGGUUCCGGACCGUCCGUGAUGCCCGUCGUGAGGAAGUACUUGAGUUUUUUGCGCGGUCGCCCAAUGAUAAGGAAUAAAAUGUUUCACGUCAUCUUGCAGGGAGAAAAUGUAAAUUAAAGGAAAACAUAACCAUACAAUCGUUGGAUUCAAAACAUUGUUGAAUCGGUUGUGUAUUAUACACAACAAGUCUAUGUAUAGAGUUGCCCGUCGGAUAUCUCUCGUCGAUACGAAGAAUUCUUACUGGAUUUAUAAAUUUUUGUGCCUUUAUUAAAUAAUUUAAUCGUGGAAAUAUACCAUGAUUGUUUCCCGUGUGGAAUGAAGUCAGUAAAAUCUUUUCCGUUCCGUUUGUGAAGAUUAAACAAGUAAGUGUUACUUGUAACUAAGUAACGUUGAACACAUGUACUUAAAUUUAUGUAGCAUAUUUAAAUUUGUGUAUAUAUUGUCUUGAUUAUAUGAGUUUAAAUAAAAUAUAAUUUAAUAGUA